UUUUUAAUUUUAUUGUUCUCAAUUUUGAAAUAUUAUAAUUCAUUUACGAUUUAGAAUUUGAAUUAAUUAAUGAAUUUGAUUUCAUAAUACAAUAUAUAAUAUCUUUUCAAGUGAAUGUAUGAAGGAAAUGCAUCAAACUACAUCAUGGACAAUAUCGUGGGCUUCUUUACAAGGACUGUGCCAAUUUAACAUUACUCUUUAGACAUGAUGGGUUUGCCGAGUUCAAGAAAUAGGUAUCUAUUCUGGAGAUAGAAGCCAGCUUGUCCAAAAAUGUGUUCGCUGCGUCAUUUAUCGCUUCAUAUCUCAUAGAACCGUUUCCGUAAGUUAGGAUUUCCCCACAUUUGGCAUUGUACGCGUAGAUGUUAUUCGGAAAUAAAUCCACCACGGAAAACAUAUUGUAUUCUAUACUGCUUUACCAUGCUUAGCCAUAAUAUUGUGAAGCCAGGAAACAGCCGGAAAAAUUGAAUAAUUUCAAGUUUGGCUUCAAGUUCAUGUGUAAUAGCUAUGUAAUGCCUAUUAUUAUUUCUAUUAUAAUAUGUAUUUUUAUUUAACUAUUAUAUAUUCUAACUAUUUUA